AUUGAACGCUGGCGGCAGGCCUAACCCAUGCAAGUCGAGCGAGCGGCGGACGGGUGCGUAAUGUAUGGGGACUGCCCGAUAGAGGGGGAUAACUACUGGAAACGGUGGCUACUACCGCAUACUAUCGGAUAACCCAUAUGGGAUUAGCUAGUAGGUGGGGUAAAGGCUCACCUACGUGACGAUCUGUAGCUGGUCUGAGAGGAUGAUCAGCCACCAUGGGACUGAGACACGGCCCAGACUCCCACGGAGGCAGCAGUGGGGAAUAUUGCACGUUAGUCGCAAUCCUGAUUCAGACAUGCCGCGUGUAUGAAGAAGGCCUUAAGGUUGUAAAGUACUUUCAGCGGGGAGGCGUUACCCGGAGAAGAAGCACCGGCUAACACCGUGCCAGCAACCGCGGUAAUUC
rnacentral:rRNA from 1 species